rnacentral:rRNA from 1 species
UACGGGGGGGGCAAGCGUUGUUCGGAAUUACUGGGCGUAAAGGGCUCGUAGGCGGCCAACUAAGUCGGACGUGAAAUCCCUCAGCUUAACUGGGGAACUGCGUCCGAUACUGGAUGGCUUGGAUUUGGGAGAGGGAUGCGGAAUUCCAGGUGUAGCGGUGAAAUGCGUAGAUAUCUGGAGGAACACCGGUGGCGAAGGCGGCAUCCUGGACCGAUACUGACGCUGAGGAGCGAAAGCCAGGGGAGCAAACAGG